AACGAACGCUGGUGGUAUGCUUAACACAUGCAAGUCGAACGGGCAUAGCAAUAUGUCAGUGGCAAACGGGUGAGUAAUGUAUAGGGAUCUACCUAGCAGUAAGGAAUAACCCUGGGAAACCAGGGCUAAUGCCAUAUAUUACCGGUUAGCAAUAACCGGGAAAGAUUUAUCGCUGUUAGAUGAGCCUGUAUUAGAUUAGCUAGUUGGUGGGGUAAUAGCCUACCAAGGCAAUGAUCUGUAGCUGGUCUGAGAGGAUGAUCAGCCACACUGGAACUGCGACACGGUCCAGACUCCUACGGGAGGCAGCAGUGGGGAAUAUUGGACAAUGGGCGCAAGCCUGAUCCAGCAAUACCACGUGAGUGAUGAAGGCCUUCGGGUUGUAAAACUCUUUUAGUAGGGAAGAUAAUGACUGUACCUACAGAAAAAGCACCGGCUAACUUCGUGCCAGCCGCCGCCGUAA
rnacentral:rRNA from 1 species